CGGAUUUAUUGGGUUUAAAGGGUGCGUAGGCGGCUUUGUAAGUCAGUGGGGAAAUAUGGCAGCUCAACUGUCAGGGUGCCAUUGAUACUGCGGAGCUUGAGUACAGAUGAGGUAGGCGGAAUUGACGGUGUAGCGGUGAAAUGCUUAGAUAUCGUCAAGAACACCGAUAGCGAAGGCAGCUUACUGGGCUGUAACUGACGCUGAGGCACGAAAGUGUGGGGAUCAAACAGG
rnacentral:rRNA from 1 species